ACAAGGUGUUUGUGUGUGACAAGGUGUGUGUGUGUGCAUGACAAGGUGUGUGUGUUUGUGUGUGACAAGGUGUGUGUGUGUGCAUGACAAGGUGUGUGUGUGUGUGUGUGCGUGAGACAAGGUGUGUGUGUGAGACAAGGUGUGUGUGUGUGUGUGUGUGUGACAAGGUUUGUGUGUGUGACAAGGUGUGUGUGUGUGUGACAAGGUGUGUGUGUG